UUUCGGCCCCUUAUCCACAUCCACGACACCCACAUCCGCUCCCCACCGAACCCAGCACCAUGCUAAUGCAGCUGCCCGCCGUGGGCGCGGCCACUGCGGCACCGCUAGCUCCGGUCAAGGCUGCCACGGCAGCAAGUCCCCGUAGAUACCCCCCCAUACGACUCAGCGCAUCUCCUUCCACGGAAUCUUCUCCUUCAACCUCGGCGGUCUCCGGCCAGCGGCUCCCGCCGUCUGCCAGGCAUUCCCGCGAGCACCUGGGAGGCAGAAACAACGUCCCGGCAAGGCCCUCCAAAGGCCGGGUGUUCUUCCUCGACGUCAAUCCUAUCUGCUUCCGUGGCUCCCAGCGCAGCCUCGGCGCCUUCGCGCGCUGGCUCUCGCUCUUCUUCGCGCACGUCAGCCUCCGCGACCCCGUCGUCGCCGUUUUGGACGGGGUGGGCGGGAACGAGUACAGGAGGCGGCUGCUGCCGUCCUACAAAGCUCACCGGACUCGUGGAGUGGGCAAGGGUGCCGAUUCGCGCGUGGUCGACGUGCUCCGCGAGUGCAAUGUGCCGGUUGUGCAAAUUGAUGGACAUGAGGCAGAUGACGUAGUGGCUACCUUAACAGAGCAAGUAUUGCAGAAAGGUUUUAGAGUUGUCAUUGGCUCACCAGAUAAGGACUUCAAGCAGCUGAUAUCUGAAGACGUUCAGUUAGUAAUGCCCAUUCCUGAGAUUGGCCGGUGGUCAUUUUAUACACUCAGGCAUUAUGUUGCACAGUACAAGUGUAAUCCGACAGCAGAUUUAAGCCUUAGAUGUUUCAUGGGUGAUGAAGCAGAUGGUGUUCCCGGAAUCCAGCAUCUGGUUCCUGGUUUUGGUCGCAAAACUGCAGUAAAACUACUGAAAAAACAUGGGACAUUAGAGAACUUACUUAAUACAGCUGCAAUUAAAACUGUUGGCAAGGAUUAUGCCCAGGACGCACUCGUGAAGCAUGCGGAUUACUUGCGGAAAAAUUAUGAAGUCCUCAGCCUGAAGAGUUAUGCAUUGUCGAGUCAAUAUAGAGCUGUGCAGGAACCUGCUUUUUUGUCACGCAGGUGUUCACUGGAUAGAUGUAAAUGUUCAGCUUGACGACAGAUGGUUAUCGACAAGGGACACUUGCAAUGACACCAGUGUUCUAUCUAACUUCAUCCUUAAAUUCAACGAGGGCCAGAAGUUAAAUAGCAGGUUCAGAACCGGAACGGACAGAAGCAGUAUCUAACCAACCCGCUCUUUGUCUGGUUGAACAAGCAGGUGAUGUUGGCUACAGAAAACAGAAAUGUGGUCUCUGGUUCUGGACCACAGUCUAGUACGUGCAGCCAUGGCCAGUGGGAGUCAUCCUCUCAUCAAGACAUGCUACCUCAGCACUUUUGUCACGCUAGUAGCAUAUCAUAAACCAACACAUGUUCAAGAAGGUAGCAUCUGCAGCGCACGUCGUGCUUACAGAUACAGUGUAUGUAUCAUCGGAUGCUAUUAGUAAAUCACUGAUACUCGGGGUGAAUUGAAUACUGUAUGUUGGUCUAGGUUUGAGGAACGCUGGUCCCAUAUUGCGAGCCUUUGUUAUGGCUGACCAGAUUGUCUAUAUCUGAUAAAGUCGAUGUGGAUAAUUAGCUCGAUUCCAGCUUUUUCUCUUGUUAAUUGAGUUUGACAGUGAAAACUUUCACAAUGGGCCCUGAAGAAUGGGAAGUUACACAAUGUUCCGAAA